GCCGUGUCACUCCCAACCUCCUCCGCAUGUGUCCAUACAAGCUUUACAAUACAUAUCAACUAAUCCCCUUAUUAAAAAUCCAAUGCGAGAUGCUCUAACAGCACAUUCCACAUCAUCAAAUAAAAUGUGUUCUGUCCUGUUCCCUCGCAAAUGCUGUAUAACAGGAAUUAAAUUUGGCAUGUGCUCAUCGUGCACAACUUCAAAAGUUGUGUGAAGUACUAAAUUGUUAGACUCUGUUGCGCAACAAUACUUAAGGCCACUAUUAUACUGUCUUGAAUGGAGCGAAAAGGGUUAGAAAAAUGUUGAUGAGGUCAUAAAUCAUGCGGAAAGAAAAGCACUUUUCUCAAAUAGUCCUCUCGAGACGCUUUGGCGAGCACGGCAGCCGACCUUUCAGUUCUACUGAAAGGACACAGCCGGAUCGGGUCAACUCACGAGAGAUUCCUCAAUCAGGUUCUCAUUGGAAACAAACAAAGCAAGAAGAAAAAGCUCUUGUAGGCAGAUGUUCGAUUUCCUUUCAUAUGGACGUGGACCAAGUAUGCCUUCUGUGUUUUUUCUUUGACCUUAUUGGCCUUUAAAUGAUGUCAGAAUCCCAUGAGGGAUCUUUGACUGAUUGGCUGUAAUUGGAAAAACAACAUUUGCACAGUCAAGACGCAUAAAUAUGAACAGAACACGGGAGAAACACGACAGAUAACCUGGUUGUUGUGUCUGUGUUGUGAAAUAAUAAUUCCCGCUCGCUCAGACUUUUCUUUCCCACGUCGGAAGAUUUGCACCGGAGGAUUGACGAUCUGUGCUGUGAUUGGUGUGGCGGCUUUCAUCUGUAUCAUUAAUCUCUCGUAAUGGCGCAUGAUUGCUCCGUUAUUUUUUUUUAACCCAGCCCAUGUACUUAGUGACAAAUGAGUCUGCAACGUAGCUUCCAACUUUUCCUGGUCUGGUACUCGAGUACUUGUGUCGAGCAACUACAGAUGCCCCGUUUCAUUUGGUGCAAACAGGACACCAACAUAAAAAGGCAUCAGGGGAAUCUCAAGUCAUGCUGAAGACCGCUGUCAGUUAAUAAAAGAAAAUUGCCAAGCUAGCAAGCGGCCAGCAAGGUAAAUCCCAACAGGAGGAGAGCUUUGACAGUUGGAGGUUUGAUGAGACGCCGCAGCUCGGACAAACAAAGAACACACUUUAUCUCGUCUCUCUGUUCCCUCCAGAUAAAGAGACUUGACUUGCGGCAAUCCAUAGUUGGUUCAUUCUCCUUCAGAGGUGUAUAGAUCUCGGCUCAAGGUUGCAGGGACCAUGUCAGGGAACUUGUCAGACACAAGUGACCCUCAACGUCUGCACAAAUGGGUGAUGUAAUUCUGAUGCCAUGUCAACCUCCAGGCCUCUGUACCUUCUCAAGACUUCAUACGAGACGGCUGUCUGCUUAACACCUGGAGGCGAAGCCAGCGAGUUGCUUUUUCAUCAUGUCGCUGAGAGCGCUGGAUUGAUGCCAGCAUCGGGAUGAGCGACGCUUAUCCUUGCCCUCAAUGCAAAGUUGAAGGAAUUCAGGGGAAGGGCAGGAAAGAAGUCACACACAGUCAAUGACA